rnacentral:rRNA from 1 species
GUGCCAGCAGCCGCGGUAAUACGUAGGUGGCAAGCGUUGUCCGGAUUUACUGGGCGUAAAGCGCGCGCAGGCGGACUGAUCAGUCUGGGGUGAAAUCUCCCGGCUCAACUGGGAGCGGUCCCUGGAUACUGUCAGUCUCGAGAGACCUAGAGGAGAGCGGAAUUCCCGGUGUAGUGGUGGAAUGCGUAGAUAUCGGGAAGAACACCAGUGGCGAAAGCGGCUCUCUGGGGGUUUUCUGACGCUGAGGCGCGAAAGCGUGGGGAGCGAACCGGAUUAGAAACCCCAGUAGUCC